UGUUCAUAUCGCUGACUGACCGCUUCGAUCGAGCCGUUCGGAUCUGUUUGAUCGCGUCGCCCAGGACUGGCGCCGCCGCCGCAGGGACGGCCGAUGGAGACCCGCCUCGCCAAGACGCCACCUCCGCACGGACCGCGCCGUUCAGAGCUUCACCUGCACUUCUGCAGAACCACGCCGAUCGAUGAUGGCCGAAGCGAUUCCGCUGACCAAGAAUCUCCACACCGGCGCUCAGGCUCAGGUUGCCGAUCUUCUUGCCCUCUUAAUUGGUUUUAACGUUGAGAAGGCUCAGUACAAGAAUGUGGCAUACUGUGUGUGGGAUGUAGACAGACAAGAAAAUCUCGGACCCUUAUGGAAGAUGCACCUCAGCAAUUCCGAUGCACUGGAUAUUUCACAAAUGAAGCGGGACAACUAAACAUGGGGUUCACUGUAUGUACAAUGUUUCAAAGUUGCAGGUAAACUAUCUACUGGCAAUUAUAAUAUUUACCAUACUCUGGAAAUUGCUAAUAAUGAGCAAUUCUUCAAGCCUUCCAAAAAUAUGCAAAGAAAUUGCAAUAUCGAUGUCGACAUAUCUCAAUACCUCAUUGAUUUUAAAUUUUUUAGAACGCAGACAACUGCACAAGUGAGGCUCGGUGCAAGGCUUACAUGUUUGAAUGCACACAUGAACAACCAGCAUCUCGGUGCUUCCAAAUUUUUUUGAAACUAACCAAAUAUAUAAAUGAAACUAAGAAGCCACUCACGGCCUCUACAUGACUAAGUCAUCGAAUAUAGAAAUUCCUAAUGCCUUUAUGAAACCCAAGCUCAAUUUGAUUUCCGGGAUGUUGUCUAAGGUUUCAUUAUUUAUGAACUUCAGGAGGCGAACCAUAAGUUGCUUCCUGAGCUCCAUAGGAUCUAAAAAUGUGCUAAACAAAAGUAAGAACAAAUGACCACAAAAAUACAAAACAUGAUGAAACACGUGUCGAUACCUGGUUUAGAUGUACUUACAUAGUUACAUUAGGGAUGCGUCUAGCAAUUCGGCCAGUGCCACUCGCGGUGCCAUGUGUUCCAGGACGGCGAAUCCAGAGUCAUCGUUGCAAUCAACGUAAGUUUGAACUUUUAUUUGUUUCCAAGGAAAUCUAGUCUAGUUAAUUAAACCAACAAAUCAUAUUACCUGUUUCUAUUGGUGCCCAUGAUCUGAUAGCUGUCCAUUGGCCACUCCGCGACUUGUGUAUCCUAGUCAAGGUUCAUGGUGUGGUGCACCUCGUUAAACUCUUCCAUCAGGGCUUUGCUCUCCUUUAUCACCUCACUCUGUUGAAUGAGGGUCUCCUGCUGAUUCGGGUAAUAGCACGAAUCCAUCAGAAAUGUCCUCCUUCUUUGAAUGUUGACCACAAGAAGAGCGUAGGCGUCCAUGACUGUCAGCGGUAGUAGAUAUUGCCAUAUGGAGACAAAAGUUAAUAACUAACACAAGAAAACACACAUUGUCGAAAACGAUAACCACUUACAACUUCGGAGUCGAAGAUGUUGUAGGGAGGCAAUGUUGGGAUCACAACAUCAAUCAAUGUUGUGGUCCGGUUGACUUGCGAUAUCGGCGAACGCCUUUAGGCAUGUGCUUGAGCUUGAAGUUGCAAGUAAAACAUGUGCUUCCAUCCAACAUGUUGGGUGGUAGCAUGCCUCUCGACUUCCGCGCAUGAAAGUCCAUGAACUGCUAGAUUGAAGCAGUUGGGGCGAACUCGUCCAACUGCCUUACUUGACUUGGAUCAUUCCGAGGGUUAUCUUGAUCAUGUACGGAAGAUGGCUUCUCAUCCAUAUUGUGUUGCAAAAUAGGCAUUAGAGCAAGCUCAGCAAACAAUUACCACAAUGCACAUUCUUAUAAAUCUAUGUGUUCCCAUUUUUAUCACUCUUUCAAUAUUUGCUAGUGGACAUCAUGAUAUCUUACUUUGUAACAAAAAAUACUUACUCUAAUGUGUUCUAGUCAUCGAUCUCCAUGAUAAAAUUGUACAUAUGUUCGACAACAUGUGCACUGACAAAAGCUAGCCCCUUCAUCGCUGUGGUACGCUGGUUGCCCACAACCAGUGUACCGCACCAAUGAACGGGUUGGCGCAUUCGUCAGUGCACAUGAUGUCGAGCAUAUGUAUAAUUUUAUCAUGGAGACAGAUGAACAGGACGCAUUAGAGUAAGUAUUCGGUUACAAAGUAAGAUAUCACGAUAUGCAGGAACAAAUAUUGAAUGAGUGAUAUAAAUGGGAACACAUAGAUUUUUAAGAAUGUGCAUUAUUGUAACUGUUUGCUGAGUUUGCUCUAGCGUCUAUGUUGCAACAUAAUAUGAUAAGAAGCCCUCUUCUGUACAUGAUCGAGAUAACCGUCGGGACGGUCCAACAGUCAAUCCGGGCAGCUGGAUGAGUUCACCCCGACUGCUUCAGUCUAGCCGUUCGUGGGAUUUCGUGCGGGAAAGUCGGAGAGCAUGCCACCCAACAUGUUGGAUGGAGGCACAUGUUUGACUUGCAGCUUCAAACUCAAGCACAUGCCUUAAGGCGUUCACCGAUAUCGCAAGUUAACCGUACCACAACAUUGAUUGAUGCCGUGAUCCCAACAUUGCCUACCUACAACAUCUUCAACUCCGAAGUUGUAAGUGGCUAUCGUUUUCGACAACCCGUGUUUUGCUAUGUUAGUUAUUAACUUUUGUCUCCAUAAUGCAGUAGGUACUACCGUUGGUUUUCAUGGACGCCUAUGAUCUUCUUGUUGUCAACAUGCAAAGAAGGAGGACAUUUUUGAUGGACCGUGCUAUUACCUGAAUCGGCGGGAGGCCCUCAUUCGAUGGAGUGGUGAUGAAGGAGAGCAAAGCCCUGAUGGAAGAGUUUAACGAGAUGCACCACACAAUGAACCUUCGCUAGGAUAAGAAAGUCGCGGAGUGCCCAAUGGAUAGCUAUCAGGUCAUGGGCACCAAUAGAAACAAGUAAUGUGAUUUGUUGGUUUAAUUAACUAGACUAGAUUUUCUCAUAAACAAAUAAAAAUUCAAAAUUACGUUGUUGCAGCGACGACUCCGGAUUCACCGUCUUGGGGCACAUUGUCACCACGGAUGGCACUGACCGGAUUGCUAGACGCAUCCGUAAUGUAAGUACAUUUAAACCAAGUAUUGAUGCGUUUUUCAACAUGUCUUGUAUUUUUAUGGUCAUUUGUUUUUUACUUUUGUUUAACACAUUUGUAGGAUCCUGUAGAGCUCAGGAAGCAGCUUAUGGUUUGCCUACUUAAGUUCAGAAAUAAUGAAGCCUUAGACAACAUCCCAAUGGGAAUCAAAUUGAGCUUGGGUUUCAUAAGGACAUGAUGAAUUUCUAUAUUCGAUGACUUAGUCAUGUGGAGGCCCUGUGUGGCCUCUAGAUAAUAAAGCGUGGAACAAAUGCCUUAUUCCUUUUGUUGCCCAUAUAUUAUUCAUGGAAACUCCUGUGAUUUUAUUGGCACAAUAUUUGUGCUUCCUCAUGCUUGAUUUUAUCUCUACUACUUAUAAAGGCACGAAGUACCGUUGGAAAAUCGAAUCGAGGCCGUCUAUUCACUUGCAUCAUACGGACACGAUCUCUUCAAUCUCCCCACCCCUCCUCCCGUCAGAUGCGGCGCCAUUGCUCCAGAUGGUCAGAUCCGCGAUCUCCAAAUCUCGCUAUCCUCGCAGCACCCGUCUUUGCCCUCCACGAUCCAUGCCGCCGCCCACGAGCGGGCCGCCGCCCUCUGCACCCAAUGCCCACCGCGCCGUGCCCUGCCCUCCGCGCCCGCACGCCAGCCGCCCACGCUCGGGGCGGGGAGCCCGCCUCCAUGGCUGCACUCCAGCGCCAGGGUCUGUGUGCCAGCCUCCGUGCCCGACGCCUCUAUGCGCCGCUGCGGCUGUUAUCCCGCGCCUAAGAUGGAAGCAACAGCGCCACCGUUUCCCCACGCAUGAGAUGCAAAAUCCACCGCGGGUUCUUUGCAGAGGCCAGACAUCUUGAUGGAGUAGGUCGAAGGAAUCAAGCAAUGCGGUCAUGUAGCAUCGUGAGUAUACCUCGAUCUACAAGUAGCAGCUCUGAUUACGGAAUCAUGCACUAGCAUCUUAUUUUACGUUUGCCAUGCUGCAAUCAGUACCCAAUCCACGCACACACCUUUUCUAUUUAGUAGAAAUAUGUUUAUGCACUUUGCAGUGUAUAAUUGUGUCUGGGGCACCACAGAAAAAUAUGAGUUCUUACUCAGUAUUGUAAAUUAACCAUGACAUAACUCCACAUGUAGUACUUACUUGACACUUUUUGAACUACAUCAUCCAUAAAUUCAGAUAUGUAUCUGUACAUGUGUGUUGUCUUCUAUUUGGAUGGAACGUGGAUGUUCAACUUGAUGUACCAAUUGACUUCUGUAUUAGCAAUGAAUAUUUGUCUUCUAUUUGGAUGGAACGUUGGAUGUCCAUCCAUAAGCUUUUGUAGAGUAGUCAUUUCCUCUUUUGUGUUUUCCUUUUUUUCUGAAAGUUCUCUGUCUUGAUCCAUAAGUUAAUUUUUGUUCACAAUGAAUAUUUGGCUACUCCUGUGCCGCUCUCUUAUUGUGAUCUAAUCCUCUGGUUUCUUUUCUGGAAAAUACUGGGUGUGCUGACCGAGCUAUAGAAUGAGGAGACUAAGGGAGCCGUUGCCGGAUCAUCUCGGGUUGAUGGUUUCGGAUGUAUCACAUGUGCUCCUCCUGAACACCGUGGAUGAGCUGCAGCCCUGCGUCCUCUCCUUCUGCACUCCAAGAGCGAUGACCUCCACCGCUGAGUACCGUCUAUUGAUGCCCGCCGGCCGCAUCAGAUGAGAUGGUAGCGCGACAAGAAAAAUCUUUAGCUGAACUCUGGUCUGGCGCCACCUGCGACCUUGCCACCGUUGUCCACUGAAGGUACGUUGCCUAUUUGAUUCAGCUAUAUACUGUAGUGCUCGUGAGAAGUUAGUAUCUGAAGGCUCUGAGAAACCAAAUUUGAAUACAUGAAUGACAUCUUAGCAUCUAUUUCACUGUCAAUUAAGAAAACCUUCGUCGAUGAGCUUGGGGUAUGUGGGUCUUGCUUUAAUUACGAACCACUGUCAAUUGAGAAAACCAGGUUGCAUGAUGCUGAAUGUAGUAUUCCCAGUUCUGAUGAAGUGCAUGUGGCAAUGAGGUUUAUGGCCAUGUCAAUGCCGUGUCAAUACUUUAUUCAAGCGGAGCUAAAGGUGAGUGGUAGUUUUUUCAGCAUAUGUCUACCGCUUGAGUCUGAGUUGGAAAGGGUUUCCAUAUAUAUUGCCUUUCCUAUCAUCUUUCUGCUACACAGAAGAAGUAAAUAAUCUGCUGAGCAUGGUGUGUGAUGGCUGGGAUUUUAUGACUUUUAGUGUCUGCUGGGCAUCUUAAUUAUUUUGCACAACCCGUGCCACCAACUCAAGAUACAUUUACAAAGUUGGUAAUUCGUGAGUCAUCUGAGAGAUAUUACUGUUGUGUCAGUUUGGGCUUGCAUACUGUUAUCUCUUGGACUGGCAGUGGCAGUCUUCCACAUGUUGUUCUGCUGAGUUUUUCUGGGGAGGAUAUUUGGGCACCAGACUGCACUUUUUUACUAUCCGCAUGUGUGGUAGAAUUGAAUGAUCUUCCAAUUUUGAAUCCUGCUCUAAAUGAUAAUAAAUCAGACUAUAGAUUAGAGAUUGUCUCACAUUUGGGAUGCUUGCACGGUAUGUGUUUCAUGAUUUUUCUGAAAGGCGGACAUUGUAUGCUGCUAUCUUCUUUCAACCCGUGUGUCACAUUUUGAUGUCAGUUAUCUGGUGCAAAGGACUAAUUAAUCAGACAUAUCUGGUGCAAAUGAAUGAAAUAAAGAUCCAUCCAGCGUCAAUUUCUUCAUUCUUUUCCUGGUGAGGGAUUCAACGUGACAAAACGUGGAGAUGCACAUGUUGUUUUGUGGGGUUUCCUUCGGUUUGGAAAUCUGCAUUGUUGAAGAUGGCGAGGGCCGAGGGGAACCUUUUCAAAGGUCUGCAGUAGUUGGGAUCAUAGAGGCGAGCUCUGUCGAGAUUGAUUGUGUUAAAAUAGAGUAACUUUUUUUUAUAUUGUGUCAAAUCUAAGCUGCUCCUAUCCAAAUCAUUGCACACGCAAGAUAAGAAAUAUUAUGUGGAUUGAAAUGAAUAUUCAAAAUUAAAAAUUGAGAUAUGAUUCAAAAUUUUAAAUUUGAGACAUGCACUGCACGUGGUCUAUUCAAAGUGGGUUCUCCAAUCCUAAUCAUUGCACACACAUGAUAGGAAAUAUGUGGAUUGAGAUUUGUAAGCUCUGCAUAUUCAAAUUUUGAAUUUGAGACAUGCAUUAAAAUUUUAAAUUUAAAACGUGCAUUGCACGUGCAAGCUUACUAGUUGGAACAAAUGUGCUUGAUUACCCCAGGAUAUCCUAAGCCUCGGGCGGACAGGAUCCAUCUCCACCACUUCACCACCUCCGCCCCCCGCCAUCCCUAAUCGGUAGAAAAUAAAUCAUGGUUCUCCUUGUGCCGCCCUCUCCCCAAAUAUAUCUCACGGUAUACUUCUAGCAGUUGUACCUCUGCGUGUAAUGCACUGUCACCGAUGGUGUGCUGCUGUGUGCUAGGCUUAACGCUCCUCUUUAAAAAAAAGGGAGGUCAUGCCGCUUCCAAACCUUUUCCAGCUGGUGUUUGGUGAUAGUGUGCAGCCACCGCAAAUUCGGCCCAGUAAGCUUCCUCGGGUACCCUAAUGCACACAUGUAAUGUGUGUUCAAUUUUUAAUUUGUGAUAACUGUAUUGUACCUGAUUGCUUGUAAUUAAAAUUUUCCACCUGUAGCAAUCGAAGCAUGAUGGAUCAGCCAGUGGCCUGCAGGUGCUGGCCCUGAGGUCGAUUACUCGCGUUUCUUAUGCGGAUGACUGAUCCCCACGGUUGCAGAGAGGGUAAUGAAGUUCAUUAACGUUUGUAAGUUAAGAUAUUUGGAAUUUGUUUGCUGUUAUUUGCAUAAGCAACUACCAUGCAUCCAUGUUGUUUUUAAUUGAUCAGGUAAUCGAUUUUUGUGUGGAGUGUAGCAUGAUUUUGACUCUAGAAAUGUAUUGGUGUCCUUUGAGAGUCAUGUUUGAUAUGUACAAGCAAUGAUAUGUAUGUCUCAUGCCUUGGCAUGCACAAUAUGAUUCUGUGAUUGAGUAAUCAGCUCUAAGCCUCUAAUUUGUCAUGGGAGCGGCAUAAUUUUCAUAUUGAGUGCAUUCACUUGCUUGGCAAGUCACCACUUGAUUAAAAAUAGAUCAUAGCCAGGCCAAGGCAUAUACAUUUGGCAUUUUUGCUAAGGCUCUCACGAAGUCAAGUUGCCAUGUGGAUGUGUUAAAUGGGGAUGUCUAUCCAAGGUAGUGAAUGUCCUGUGAUUACUAUCUGGCUGCAUAGUAUUACUUCUCUAAAGUGGGCUCCAUUUUUUGAACUUGUACAUGUUUCUAGCAUUUUUAGUUGAGAACUGCAUUUGGCCGUUUGCACUCAAGGUUAUAUUUCUUAUUGCUUUUUACUAUCCUGCUAGGUGAUUGUAUAUUUGGCGGUAUUUUGAACCAUAUUUGUUACAAUGCAGUUAAUACGUAGUAGGAGACAAGCCAUCAGAAAGGAUUAGUGCCCCUAUUGGAAUUGGUCCCCAAUAUGAACGAGGAAUGCUUUUAGAACUAUGAGAUUUGUGGAGCCUCUAAAUAGGGAGCUUUGUUUUACUGAGGUGAUUUAUGGCUCUCAAAUGAAAUGUUCAGUGAGUUAAUUUGGUUAGAAAUUCCAUGUUAGGGAGAAAAUCACCUUCCAUGGUUUAUGAUGCACAAUACUGAAAUUUCCUGAAUUGAAUUUCUGUGAAGCUACUUAAAUUUCCCCCGUACUUAAAUUUGCAUCAUAAUUAUGUUCUCAAGAUAACUAGUCUUGUCGUGCUGAAGAGGAGGAAAUCAAGAGAGGAGAAUGGAUAAGGAGAAAGGAGCUAGGAAGAAACAUUCAUCUCAGUAAGACUUAAAAAAAGAAGUAUUUCUUAUUACCACUGUUUGCAUUUCAUUUUCCUAUCUCACAAAGGGUUUAUUGUUUGAUUGAUCUUCUAGAGAUGUAGUAGGACCUCGGUUAUAAGCUUAAGAAUGAUGCCUAAUAUUGAUGUAACAUAAUAACAUAAUUUAUCAUCAAAAAGGACUAUUUGACAUGUAGAAUUAUGUAAGUUUUCUUAAGCUCCCCUGGAAAUUAAGUAUUCUUUCCAAACUAAUGGCACAAAAUACUAAUAUAGUGCUCUUAUAUUAUGCCGGAACUCCAAAUAUUUUUUUUCCUAUUGCCAACUACUGUUUCCAGUCAUAGCUAACUUCCUGUCCAUGUGUGCGCAUAUGAGGGUAAUGAUGGUCAUUCUUGGGGUGAAAUGAUUCUCGAGGAGAUUGAGCAGAUGAUAGCGAGGCGAAACAUAUGGCAGACUGAUAUGUCAACUACAAUUUUGUGCUAUCGGUAACAUCUUGAGCAUAAGCAAUAUGAAGCUGGUGACCGAGUUGUGCUAUCGGUAACAUCUUCAGCAUAAGCAAUAUGAAGCUGAUGACUGAAUAUGAUAACCAACUUUUUUAAAAUUAGAUGCAGCAUUCCAGUUUCCAAUUGUAUGUUCAAUCAAAUUAGUUUUUCACUCGCUUGUUUAAUGUAUUGUGAUUUUUCUUUUAAAAAAUCAUCACAA